UGGGGAAUCUUGCACAAUGGGCGAAAGCCUGAUGCAGCAACGCCGCGUGAGUGAAGAAGGCUCUUGGGUCGUAAAGCUCUUUCGGUUGGGAAGAAGGGAGAUCAGGUUAAGAGCUAGGUCUUUUGACGGUACCAGCAUAAGAAGCACUGGCUAAUUCCGUGCCAGCAGCCGCGGUAAUACGGAAGGUGCAAGCGUUGUUCGGAAUGACUGGGCGUAAAGCGCGCGUAGGCGGGCUGAUAAGUCGGAUGUGAAAGCCCCGAGCUUAACUCGGGAAUUGCAUCCGAAACUAUCGAUCUUGAAUACCUGAGGGGUUAGUGGAAUUCCAGGUGUAGGAGUGAAAUCCGUAGAUAUCUGGAGGAACAUCAGAGGCGAAGGCGACUAACUGGCAGAGUAUUGACGCUGAGGUGCGAAAGCGUGGGGAGCAAACAGG
rnacentral:rRNA from 1 species